AGUGAACGCUGGCGGUGGGCCUAACACAUGCAAGUCGAACGGCAGCACAGUAAGAGCUUGCUCUUACGGGUGGCGAGUGGCGGACGGGUGAGGAAUACAUCGGAAUCUACUUUUUCGUGGGGGAUAACGUAGGGAAACUUACGCUAAUACCGCAUACGACCUACGGUUGAAAGCAGGGGAUCUUCGGACCUUGCGCGAUUGAAUGAGCCGAUGUCGGAUUAGCUAGUUGGCGGGGUAAAGGCCCACCAAGGCGACGAUCCGUAGCUGGUCUGAGAGGAUGAUCAGCCACACUGGAACUGAGACACGGUCCAGACUCCUACGGGAGGCAGCAGUGGGGAAUAUUGGACAAUGGGCGCAAGCCUGAUCCAGCCAUACCGCGUGGGUGAAGAAGGCCUUCGGGUUGUAAAGCCCUUUUGUUGGGAAAGAAAAGCAGCAGGUUAAUACCCCGCUGUUCUGACGGUACCCAAAGAAUAAGCACCGGCUAACUUCGUG
rnacentral:rRNA from 1 species